rnacentral:rRNA from 1 species
GUGAGGAAUAUUGGUCAAUGGGCGGAAGCCUGAACCAGCCAAGUAGCGUGAAGGAAGACGGCCCUACGGGUUGUAAACUUCUUUUGUCGGGGAAUAACCGUCGGCACGUGUGCCGACCUGCAUGUACCCGGUGAAUAAGGACCGGCUAAUUCCGUGCCAGCAGCCGCGGUAAUACGGAAGGUCCGAGCGUUAUCCGGAUUUAUUGGGUUUAAAGGGAGCGUAGGCGGAAUGGUAAGUCAGCCGUUAAAUAGCGGGGCUCAACCCCGUAGUGCGGUUGAAACUGCCGUUCUUGAGUGCACGAGAGGUAGGUGGAAUUCGUGGUGUAGCGGUGAAAUGCUUAGAUAUCACGAAGAACUCCGAUUGCGAAGGCAGCUUACUGGUGUGUUACUGACGCUGAUGCUCGAAGGUGCGGGUAUCAAACAGGAUUAGAAACCCUAGUAGUCC